UACGUAGGGGGCAAGCGUUGUCCGGAAUCAUUGGGCGUAAAGCGCGUGUAGGCGGCCUGAAAAGUCUGGUGUGAAAUCUUGGGGCUCAACCCCAAGCGGUCACUGGAUACUGUCAGGCUUGAGUGCGGAAGAGGAGAGUGGAAUUCCUGGUGUAGCGGUGAAAUGCGCAGAUAUCAGGAAGAACACCCGUGGCUAAGGCGGUUCUCUAGUACGGUACUGACGCUGAGACGCGAAAGCGUGGGGAGCGAACAGG
rnacentral:rRNA from 1 species